CACGUAGGGCGCGAGCGUUGUCCGGAUUUAUUGGGCGUAAAGAGCGUGUAGGCGGUCUGGUAGGUCCGUUGUGAAAACUCGAGGCUCAACCUCGAGACGCCGAUGGAAACCCUCAGACUAGAGUCCGGAAGAGGAGAGUGGAAUUCCUGGUGUAGCGGUGAAAUGCGCAGAUAUCAGGAAGAACACCCGUGGCUAAGGCGGCUCUCUAGUACGUGACUGACGCUGAGACGCGAAAGCGUGGGGAGCGAACAGG
rnacentral:rRNA from 1 species